rnacentral:lncRNA from 1 species
AUCUGCCUCAUCGGAACUAUCUCCUUCUCCUCUCUCUGCACAGACCUGAUCCCAAUCUCCAUCGACGGCGGCCGAGGCGCCACGACGGCGACCAGCGUCGGGAUCAGCACCGGCACGGACGGCGAAGAAGUCUCGGUCUGGCUGAAGAUGUAGACCUUGUUGUUCCCGAUGCCGUGGAAUUUGCCUCCUUCUUCUUCGAAUUCCUUCUCGAGAUUCGAGAAAUCCCAGUCGUAUUGGUAGAGCGAGUCCAAGCGAUCCCACUCGGUGCCGACCGGGAACGCCGCCUUCCAUAGAUCUUGAAGGUUUCGCUGCUCCUCCACGUACUCCGGUUCCGGCUGCGGCUGCGGCUGAGAGGCCUUGACGCGCUUGGCGCGUGUGGCGGUGGCUUUGGGCUUGGGCUUGGCCUCCGUCGCCGCCAGGCGAGCCUUUCGCUUGGCUCCUUUCCUCAUUCUAGGGUUUGAAAUUUCGGACAGAGAGAACGGCUAUGGAGAUUUGGGGGUUUGGUGAAGAAGGUGUGUGUUUGUUUUGGUUUUUGGUAAUAACCCUACAAAUUCAAACGCGGAGUCAGAAUUGGGCGUGAUAACGAAGCGAAAACUAUAUAUAAAUGAUAUUUAAUUUUGGUCGAAAACAAUCGGUAAUUGGUUUUUAAUUUUAAAGAAAAUUUAAGAAAAUUGAGAGAUGCCUUUUCGGUUUCGCACCUAGAUUUCAAAAUUGAAAUUUUUCGAAUUUUGGUGUUUAGUGAGGCGAAGUGUUUGCAACCACCACCGAUGUUACGUAGUCAAAUUAUCUAUGAGGCGAUAACUUUGAUAACUUUUACGACGGUUUUGGUUGGAGUCUAUCGAUGUUUCUUGAUUUGUCGGUGAUUCAAAACUUGUUUUGAAAUGCGAGUCUGUGACAAUGUAUUUAUAGGAUACGACUUCUUAAUUGAUUAGAGUUAGGAAACUGUUUCCUUACAGGACUAUAACAUGUUACAUAGUUUCCUAAUGAAAAAACAAAGAGAUUAGAGUGAAGUCGUUUUAAAUUUGACAAAUCCUAAUUAGAUUAGAGUUAUUCAACAUGUAGUCGGUUGUGCAUAAAACAACCUCUCAAGCCCAUAAACUAGUAAGCAUCCCACCAUGGUCAAGACAAUCGAGGCCGCCUUAGGGUUCCCAUCCAUGAGUAGGAUGGGCCGGGUCCGACCUCGGUGGCAGCAUUGGGCCGAGAAUGGUCUUAGAAGGCAUAAGGGAGCUGGGUGUUUGAGGUAACAGCAAAGGCAGUUGUCCCACAUCGGUUUUCAAGUAGAAGAGAACCCACUAUGGGCCAUAAAUAUGGCCCAGCCACCAGUUUGUCAGGUAUCAUUAAUUACCCUAGUAAUUACAUUCAAUAAGUAGAUUCUGACUUAAUCAUCGGAGGAGGAAAGACCGGAGGCCCCCGGUCGUCCUUGUACUUGCAGGUCAGCGAGUGAAUAGUUUAUCAUCCUACGGACACACCAUCAGCUUCUGCAACCCCAUCUGGGAUUAUACAAAAACAUUUGGCGUUGUCUGUGGCAAAAGCAACACAAACACAGAGAAAGCCAAAGCAGAGGCAAGAGCAGAAACAAGCAUAGGUGCAGCAGAACAAAAGCAGCACAAAAGCUUACCAGUUUUUCGACGUAAUAGCAACGCCGGCAACUCAGAGGACCGGAAACACCUCGCAAUCGUAGGGGUCGGCGGCGGCACAAACAAAAGGGCACGAAACGGCCGAGAAAACCAGAGAAGCCAGAUAAGAGAGUGAAAGAGAAGCCAGAGAAGAGAGUGAAAGCGUGACUGAAGAUGAGAGCUAGUGAGUAAGAAGACAAAACGAAAAAGGGGGGGGGAAUGAGUUUAUACUCAGAAAGUGGGGAGUCGCCUCGAUCCACGAACCGACGCAUUAAAAAUCAAUUAACUGUUAACGAGGAACCCCUAUCUGUCGGAUGAAACCGCAGGAUGACGCCACGUGGCUCAAACCUUCUUACCUUCUCGAAGAAGGAAAGAAUGAAGCGACGGGCAUUAAUUACUCGUCAGUCAUCCCCAAGAAUAUGGCGACAUCUGGCGGACAUGCAUUUAAUGCACCUCCCACAGUAACGCACAAACCCCAAGUGAAACACCCAUCCCGGAUAAGUGUCACCGGGAAGAAGCAUACAACAACUGCUUCUCGAAAUUGUAAGUCCCAGAUAAGUGUCACCGGGAGGAAGCAUACAACAACUGCUUCUGCAAAUUGUAAGUUCCGGAUAAGUGUCCCCGAGAGGCCGGGGCAGGGCAAUUUAUAUCAUCCCUUUAAAAACAGAGUAAGUGGUUUGAUAAACCACAGACGACGUUAACACCCCGUCACUCGAGUAGUAACACCGGAUAUGGAAAUGGCUCGCUACCUUUGUCCAUGAAAAAUAUAACACCCGUUCAACCCACGUCAUGAGUACGAACUUGGGGGACUAUGUGUGAGACCCCGUAAAAUAGCUAUAUGAAAUGAAGUCCUGAUAAACUUUAGUAGACGGUUUUUAUUUCGGACAUACUAAUGUUGUUAGAGUAUUGUAUUGUACUCAAAAAUUUUGAGUUUGAUAUUGGGUUCUAUGGAGAAGGCUUGGAAAAGCCCAACCCAGUUUGGUUAGAAAUUUAGUAAGAGUUAAAUUGAGGAACUUGUCUAGAACUUGAUCAAACCUUCUUGCAUCUGCUCUGUCUCUCCCGUUCUUAUCCUCUCUUCGUCUCUGCUGGUCUCUCUGAUGGAUAGUAACAUCCCCAACUAAUCAUCAUCAAGUCGACAAGGCUACUGCUCUCCGAUCUAACUUUGAAGCUAAUCUUAUAAGCUCGACGGCGACGGAGAUGAGUGAAUGUGUUACACGCAUCGUCAACAAGUUGAGUUAUAGAAAUCUGCAGCGUGGUCUUCAUCCUCUUUCUAUUGUCCUUGUGAGGUAAAAACUGAGACCAUCCUCUUUCUAUUUUGGAUUUGAUUUUAAGAGAUUGGUUUGACCAUCCUUUAAAAGAAAAAUUGGUUUCCAGUGACAAUUGAAACUCGUGUUGAAUUUGGGUUCUGAUUGUUGUUGACGAUUUAGUUGUUGGUGACGACGAUGCUGGAGUCGAUAAUAUCUAUCCCAUGUUUGUUGGUUUUGACACGAGACCAGACCUCUUGAUUUUGAUUAUGGCUUUAGUUUUUUGGUUACGACAGGAACUGGAAAUUAAAUUGGGUGAUGAGUUCGUUGGCUAGAGAGGCAAGAUAAGGACGUUCCAAUAAGUUGGAAGAGUGAAUAAUUGGGAGUGUGAGACGAGAAAGGAAACUGAUAUGAAUGAACCAAAUAUGGGUAAGAUUCUUUCUCUAGAGUUCAGUUUGUCCUUACUUUAUAUUUUCAGCAGUGAAUUAGUGAUGAUUGGUGUUGCCAGUUUAUGAAAACAGAGAAGAUGGCUUACUGUUGAUGCAUGUAGACAAUGUCGCAACAUGAAGGAAUGACCUUGUGAUUUAAUAAUCUACAAGGUAAGGUAGCCAAUUACUUUGGACCAUUAUUGAUUGAUUUCAUUAUAUAUGUUGGUCAAAUCUCAAAACGAAAUUGAGCUGCUGAAAGUGUACUAUGUGUUGUGGUUUUGACCAUUUGAUAAGAUGCUUACACUGGUUCUAAAUUUGGUACAAUUGAAUGGUGGAAUUGAUAUCUCAAUUGGAAAGAAAGAUGUAUACUGCCUCGUUGCUAUUAAAGGAACCUAGUACCGUAUUUGUUCAGUUGGGAUUAAAGUAGUAAAGCCCUUUUGUUGUUAGUAUUGAGCUUGAAAAAAAUGCUUAAUUAUGGAAUAAGAAACUGAUAUUGAAUUUGUCGGACAGAGCUCAGUUACCCGAGUUUUCGAGUAUGGUGGUGUUUGCCGGAUGUUAUGGAGUAAAGGUUCAACUUCAGGAAUACCAGGUAGGGGAUUCUAGACUCUUCUUGGCUAGUGGUUUUUCGUAUAUUAUUUUCGUCGGCUAAAGUAUAGUAUAGCCGACGAAAUUUUUUUUCGUCGGCUACAGUUGACCAUAGCUGACGAAAAUUUAAAGUAGCCGACGAAGGAAAAUUUUGUCGGCUAACGUGGACUUUAGCCGACGAAAAAAUAAUUCGUCGGCCUGGUUUUUUUAUUUUUGUCAGCUAAAGUCUUUCUUCUGGUAGUGUGCGUCUUGUUCUUCAUCAAUGUUUCAUCUGCUCUAGAAUCCGAGAAGGCCACAUUGACUCCUAAUGGAGGCAUUCAUUGGUAGCCUACCUAGAAUAGCCUAGCUGGUGUUUGUAUAUAACAACAAUGAUCUUAUAUCAAUCACAGCCAUGCGAUCAUUUUUCAAUUUCAUCGGCUAUACUAUACUAUACUUUAGCUGAUGAAAUUUUUACUCGUCGGCUAAAUUUCGUCGGCUAUACUAUACUAUACUAUACUUUAGCUGACGAAAUUUUUACUCGUCGGCUAAAGUAUUUUAGUAGACGAAAAAAAUCUCGUUGACUAUUAUUUCGUCAACUAAAAGAAAAACAAUAAAAUGUUAUAUAACUUGUUUAGUAGGUUAUAUAACUUUGUGAACCAACUCUACAUAGGAAGCAAAAUUAUCAAAAAUCUCGUGAAAUAAGAUGUGUUCAGAAUGGUGAAAUACAGCUAUGGUUCAAAAAUCACGUAAACCGGGUAACGUCUCGGUGCCGAUAGUAGCGGUCAACCCUAUUUACCGUUAUUAUUCCCUAUAUGGAGCCCUAUCGUCGGAAGGUAAAUAUCUCAAAAUUUUUAUAUAGGCGGUUGCGUCUCAUCUACGUGAAAGUUUUUCGUGUGGAAGGUUUGACCAAACUACGUAAUAUAGAGGGAAAUAUGAGCGUUUUCGUGAAUUUAUAGACUUUAGCCGACGAGAUAUUAAAAAAGUCGUCGGCUAAGGUCAAAAUUUUUUUGGCGGCAAACCAAAUAUGGGGGAAAAUUUUCAAAAGACUUAAACCGACGAAAAUAUAUGAUUUCGUCGGCUAUUGUCAAGGGAAUGGUUCACAAUUUGGAGAAGAAAACUGAGAAAUCAUACAUAGCUAGUUUCUAAACCCAGAAAAAUCAUAUCAAUCAUAAAUGAUAUGGUUUUUUUUUUUUUUUUCCUAACAAACAUAUAGUCGGUCCCAUACAAAUGAAAUCCUAAGGUGGAAUUCUACCACUUUAAGGUAAUUAUAUACAUCUUGACCAAAAAAAGGUAAUUAUAUACAUGUCAGACUUUUGUAAUCGCUACAAACUUUUCACAUUCUGAUAAAUUCAUGUACAUCUUAAUUAAUAAUAUAGAGAGGUACCUACCAUUUACAAACAAACUACAAUGUCAGGACCUAUGAUCAAGCAGUAGAUUGAGAGAAUUUUUUUGUUUUGUUUUUCAUCAUGAUCCACAUCUAGUGGAGUUAUGCAAUCUGAUUUGCUGGUAAAAUGUGACUUUGGUAUGAUCAAAGGUUCUGGACUGAGGCUUGAUUCUGGUUGAUUGAUUGCUUGUGUUGAGUGUGUCUAUUCUGUCUUUUGCUUCAAGUGCACAGAUUGACAUGUCAUGGGCACAAUUUUACAUUUGUAAGCCUUGCACACAUAGCCGACAAACUUUUCAUAGUCCUGCAUUUCAUACAGACAAAAGUUAAGUUUGAUUCAGAGAGAGUGAGGGACGAAAAAAAGGGGGAGAUGGAAAAAAGUGGGAUCUGAGAGGGAAGAAAGAGGACCAACAUUUCUAAUAGGUUGAUUAUUUAGAACCAGCCAUGAUACAAACUCUAGAGGUGGAUUGAGGUGCAUAAUUUCAUUGCCAUAGUUUUGUUCAAGCUGCAGUAGUCCAACAAUGUCAAACAUAAUUGACAACAACUUAUUAACAUCAUAUAUUCUUUUAAAUAGGACUAUAGUAAGUAAAGCAUGAAACCUUUGUUGCAUUUGAACAAUUGUACCAAUCCAAAAUGUGUUUCUUAGGCAGUCUCAAUUGUAGCAAUCCCACUCCUUCUGCCUUCCCUCUAUGGCCAGAAAUUCUAUGCAGUAAAUCAAAGCAAAAUGCUAGUUCUGCAUCACAAAAUCAAAUUUCAAAUCGAUUUACUACUCAAUAAAUUGAUAACCUUUCAUCGAAACUCAUUUUUAUCUCACCACAUCAUGCAUAACAUCGAUAGCGCAUGAUUGUAGAGAAUUCAACUUGCACUGAUCUGGCCUAUGCUGUGAAAGUAUCACAUAAAGAACUUAUGCAUCACUUUAAUGAUUUUAUAAAAAUGUUGCAGAAACUUUGAACAAAUGAUAUUGGUACAAAUAGUGAUUAAUAUAAACCUGACAAAAAGCAGUGUUGUUGUUCGAUUUGUUGGUGUAUGCAUCACCCCAAGGAACCAAUCUGAGAUUAAUGAUGGUGAUGAGAUCAUCAUCGAAAAUCUUAGCAAGAUUUUUUACAAUGAAGGUAGCACAAGAUAUGCUCAAAGUGUCAUAGUAAAGUGACAAAGUAACUUUCUGAUUAGCAGCAAAACAUGGAAAUGUGAGCAAGAACAUUGAACAGGUAAUGAGACAAGUAAAGAAUAAUCGAGCAGAUGCCAUUUUUUGCAGUUAGAUCUGUUUCAUAAUUGUGCACAUCUGAUGUAGUAAUAGUUUCCCUCCUCUCUUUUAAUUGCUAUUGUUGGGUUUGGUACUCUGAUAUAAAUGAUGGCCAGGUCAUAAGCAUAUCUUUGGACAAGUUUAUGCAGAAAAUGAAUGCUUCUUGUUAAUUAUACAAUUUUGGGCAAAAAAAGUCAUCCAACCAUGUGAGCUAUGAUCAACUAAAGAGCAGCAGCAUCAGCAGGGUUAUAGAUCAAUGUCGCACCUACCUGCUACUAUUACUUUGCCAUAACUUAAUCAUCUCAAUCAUAAGUACAUGAAGGUGGCAGUGAAAAGCCUUCAAAUUUUGACAAGAAUAAUUUAGCAGUAACAAAGCAUGGAUUGAAAACACAAACAAAAGAUAAGAACACUAUCAGACCAUAAAACCUUAUAGGUCAGCUUCAACUAUGUCAUAUCAAUCAACAUUAGGUUCGAUUAGCAUAUGGAAUGUCAAUGUAAACUUUAUGCCACAUUGUCUGCUCCUAAGGCUUAAGAUGUAGAGUUUCUUCCUUGUUCUGCUAAACAAACUUGAGGAAUUGAUCUUUCAUUCCCAAAUGAUUCGGUCAGGAAUUUAUCAUAGUUCUACAUGGACAAAAUUGGUCAACAAGGGGACAAAGAUUGAGGAAAUAAGAAAUCCAAAAUAUGAUUAUUGAGAGACUAACAUCUGCAAGUGGUUUAUUAUUGACAACCAGCCAUGGCACAAAUCUAUGUGGUGGAUUAAGCUGAGCAGUUUCCUUUGCAUAUUUUGUUUCAAUCUAUGCAUCAAUGCCAAAUUGCCAAUCCGUGAAGAUUAAUUUUGUCAAGGCUCAAAUGAUGAAAUAGUUCAAAAACAUCAAGAACAAAGUCGGACUGAAAAUGAACUGACCUGAUUGCCAUAUCCACUGUUGUAGCAAUCGAUAGGAACAGUCCCUAACUUCAACAUUUCAAAGCAAUCGGCUCAUUUUUCGUGCUUGUUGUGCAAUGUGAGCCGCUCAACGCAGUGGAUGAAUCUAAAAUGUCGAUUCUGCAUCAUAAUUAAUCCACCGUAGUUAGUAACGAAACUAAAGUUUUAAGCGUCAUAUGCACAUGUUUGGGAUAAAGUCUGUAAAAUCUUUUCCUAGAGGCAUUGACAAGCUUUACCNNNNNNNNNNNNNNNNNNNNAAAUCCAUAAAUUACGUACAAAACAUAAUUAAACUGAUUAACUUUUUUUUUUUUUUUUUUUGAGAAAUUAAAUUUACUAAUCUUAUUACAAAAUGAAAGCUGAUUUGAAAAGUACCUCUGGAACAGAUUGAGCUGCUUCAGUAAAGCUUUCUUAAUCUGAAAUCAAAUGACACUAUUAGUGAAACACAACCCUAACAAAUCUGACAGACGAAACAAAUAUUAAUAAAUGUUAAAGUGUAGUACCUAUGGCUUGUCAAGAGAAAAAGCUAUCACAUUCUCAAGUUGAGUACGUUCAAUUGUGUGUACUCUCCAUAACAUACUAACACGUACAGUUUGUUUGAGACUUAUUCUUCACUCUAACAUCUCUAAUGAGGUUAGCAUCAGGAGUAAGACAAAGAUAGACCUCUUCAGUCUUCAUGCAUGCUUCAGUUCCAUAAGAUGUGGUUGCAUAGAAAAAGUUGUCUUCACUAUAUUCAAAAGGCUGAUUACUUCUUCUUCCAGCAGAUUUCCAUGGUAAAGGCCUUAGAUACAAUGCUGCACAAAGAAGGGAGACAAUAAGUUGAAAUAACUAUUUUCUACUUGCAAAAGUUUCCCAAGAAAAAGAAAAGGAAAGCUGAACGGUUUGAAGCAAAGUUGACCACAUACCUUAUUCCUUACUAGCCAACAACUGAGCUGUGUGUGUUGCAAUUGAGAAUUAUCCCAACUUUCUUCAGUACCUUUCGCCUAUGUACACAUGUCUUCUGUGACGACCAAACCUCUGUUCCACUUGAGGAAAUACCCUCACAAGAAUUCUAUACAUAGUUCCGUAAUACCAUAUCCUCCAUCUCUUGCAAAACAAAAGUGAUCCGAUAGCAAUACCCAACCCACAUGCGAAUCCAAUCUCAACACUGAUAACAUUCCAAUCAAUCUCAUCUCUAGAAUUUGGAUGACUUUUUUCUGGUUCCGGCGGUGACAACCUUGUUUUGUUUUCUUCGGUCAAGGGAGGCCCAAACAAACCUUUGUUUCCUUCAAAGGAAGAUUUUUGAAAUGUUGGAAAUUGAUUACUGCUCGGAAUUCUGCCCUCGAGUUGAUUGUUUGAGAGAUUCAAGAAUGAAAGGAAAGUGAGUUUUGUAAGCUGUACUGGAAUUUGACCACUCAAGGUGUUAUGUGAGAGGUCUAAAGACUCUAGCUGGCUCAAGUUGCUUAAUGAUGAUGGAAUUUCACCUGUGAAAGCAUUGUUUGAGAAAUCGAGGACAUGUAGUGAUUUGAGUUCUCCGAUUUCAUCGGGUAUAGAUCCAGUGAACUUGUUGUUUGAGAAGUCAAUGGAGGUGAAGAUUGUAAGUAUUUUUUCCAACUCCAUCUCUUGACCUUUGUUGGUAACUGUAACAGUAUCUUGAUAAUAAUCACUACUAGUUCCAUUUUUGUCAUGAUAUUGAAGGUAAUUGAGCUUUGAUGGGGCAUCAUCUUCAUUAGCCAUCAUUGCUUGCCAAGUUGUCAAAACUCUACCUGGUACAUUUCCACUAAAAUUGUUGUGAGCUAGGUCUAUAAUUUGAAGCAUUGGCCAAGUGCCAUUAGUCUUGGGACAUCCAACGCCUCCAUAAAACUUAUUGGAUCGCAAGACUAUGACAUGCAACGUAGAUAUGAUCUUCAAAAAGCAUGGAAAUGGACCUGUUAUUUGAUUCUUUCCAACGUUUAGAACUUGUAACUGCGGACAGUUGAUAAGUGAUUUUGGCAACUGACCUUGUAUCUGAUUAUCACUAAUGUCUAGUGUUUGCAAACUGCAAUUGAGAGACAACUUGGCUACAUUUCUAAGAUUGUUUCUCCUUAGCUUCAGUACUAAAAGGGUGCUCAUUGUAGUCAAGCAGUGAGGAACCGUUCCACUCAAGGAAUUAUUGGACAUAUCAAGAACCUCAAGGUUAUGUGAAUUGCAUAUUGAUCCUGGAAUGAUCCCUUGUAGGUUGUUGCUUGCAAUAAAGAAGAAUCGAGUGUUAGGAAGCAGAUCUUCAAUGGCAGUCGGUAUGUUAGUGCUGAAGUUAUUCCUAGAGUAAUCUAGAUAAUACAUGUUAGGUGACAAUGAAAUUGGGAUUUUCCCAUGGAGCUGGUUAGAAUGAAGGUCAAGGAAUUCUAGAGAAGUGAGAUUGAUUGUAGGACCUUCAAGAGUUUCUAGAGAGUUGCAUGAAAGAUUUAGGUCAGAGAGAUAAUCGAACCUCCAAAUCCAGUUGGGUAUAUUGCCCUGUAUUUGGUUAUCCGAAAGAUCCAAAUACACCAAUUGAGAUUGAUUUCUCAAGAAAUGAGGGAAUGUUCUUAACUUCAGUGAAGCCAACCCCAAGGAUUCAAAUUGAGGAAAAUAGGAGUGUGAGUAAUUGGUAGCAUCAUGGCUAAGAGACAAGCUAUUGUGUGAAAGAUCAAGAUAAGAAAGAUUUCUGAGAUGUUGAAGACUAUCCAGAAGAAAUGAGCCACUGAAAUUGUUUGAAGAAAGAGAAAGAAGUUCAAGACCCUGAAAGUCAAAGAUAGACAUGGGUAUUGGCCCUUCCAGAUUAUUUAUACUCAAAUAAAGUCGUUUGAGAAAGUAUGAUGAGAUAUUAGAAAUUUCAGGAAAAUGACCAGAGAAUUGGUUAUCAUCAAGAUAUAGAGUCUCUAGCAAGGGAAGAGAAAACAGAGCUGAUGGAAUAUUCCCAUUGAGCAUAUUUCCACCUAAGUCGAGAUAGGAUAGGUUAGAAAAGUUUUUCCAGGGGAUGCAAUUAAUAUUACCUGUUAGACCAUUUGAAAAGAGGUCUAUGCGCUCUAGAUUCUUGGCCCCACUGAAUGACGGAAUUGAACCUUCAAACUUGUUUCCAGACAUCUCCAAGUAAACCAAUUGCGUAAGGUUUGCCAUCGACUUGGGGAUUGAUCCUGUAAAAUUACAGCCUUCGAUACCAAUUGUGGACAGCAUCUUGAGGUUGCCAAUAGAGUUUGGUAAUGCCCCUGAAAAAUUAGUCCCCCAUAGAUACAGGUCCUGAAGAGAACCAUUUUUUGAGAAUUCUGGCAAGGAACCAUCAAGGUUUUCAUUUCUGGAAACGCUAAUCUUACGGAGGGAAGGUAACUGAAAGAUUUCUUUCGGAAAUGUUCCCUGCAGAUUACAAUCUGCGAGAUCCAGGGAUGUCAAGUUUGAAAAGUUGGCAAAGAAUGUCGGAACUGGAGCAGAGAUGUUGUUCGAGUCCAAUUGAAUCACAGAGAGGGACUGGAGCUUAGCAAGAGAAUCGUGGAAAGGGCCAGAAAGAUUACAACUGGACAAACUCAACACCCUAAGGUUGGGAAGGGAAGAUGAUAUGGCUUGGCACCACUCACUACCCCCUGCUGAUAUUUGGACAGAGUCAAGGUGCAACUCUCUAAGCUCUGUGAGGUUCUCUACCAGCAUGUGUAAAGUUGGGAUCUCAAGGGGAUCCCCCUCAAAGAAGAAGGAAGACAAUUUAGAAAUAUCAAGAACUACCAACCUCGUCAAGCGUGAGAUCUCAAUCGGAAUUUUCCCUGAAUAAUAAUUGUGAGAUAAAUUCAGAUACCUCAAGUUCAUGAGCUUCCCGAAUGCUGAUGGAAUUGAUUGAGAGUCGUUGCCAAGGUAGUUGUGUGCCAAAUUGAGGCUUUGAAGAUUUUGAAGAUGGAAGAGGCUGCUAGAAUUGUCAAUACCACCUGAGAUAGAUUCACUGCUGAUGUCAAGGCCCGAAACACUGUCAUUGGUGCUGCAAGUAACGCCGACCCAAGAACAACAAUCGGUACUUGAGUUCCAGGUAAUAAGCUUGGUGGAAAGAGAGGCGUUAAAUAAGAGGUCGCUCUUGAAAUGGAGCAAUGAUUGUUGCUGGUCUGGUAUACACUUGCUAUGGACUACAGGGUUGAUGAUGAUACUAACACAGAGCGAGACAAAGAAAAGGAAGAAAUGAGGCUGAUUAGUUUUCAUUUUGGAUUAGCAGAAAACUUAGUGGUUAUGUGAAGAAUUCUUAAUGGUUAUGUUGGCUUUUAUAAGGUGAAAGAGGAUAACUCAUUAACUCCUCUGAGAUUUGUAACCACUAGAAAUAUUAUGAUAGAAUGCAGAAGACUUUGGCCGGCCCUACAAGGACCAUGAGAGUCAGUCACACUGGAAGCUAGGCUCUGUGUUCAAACGUUUGUAUUGGAAAAUGUUGAAAAUUCUAUUAUAUAGAUAGUUCAUAGAACUGCUCGACAUGGACAAUACAUAUAUUUCGAAUGCCGAAAUUACUUAUUUUUCUAGUAAUGAUUUUUGUUGACAAGCUUAGAUGCAUGGUUAUGUGGUCAUGCAGACCGUAGUAGCAUAAAAGUUUAAGAAUUAUAUGUAGUGUGUUAUCUUUCACAUAUCACUUGGUUUUUUGAUCAUCUGUAAUUUGAGUUAUGUCAUCCGUUUGACGAAGAUGAGGUGACAUGAGGAUGCCCCUUCUUAUACGCCAAGAGGGGUAAUGAUAUUGUGGUGAUGGAAUUGGUCGCUUUCAAGGUUACUGUGGAAAGAGGCUACCAUGAGAUGUGUGGUUGUUGCAUGACUAUGAAGUCUUCCCCAUCUGCAGAAGGCUGUUUUCUUCAAUGUAAAUUUCCUACUAAUUUGAAUAUUUGAUGUAGAUGUUGAUACGGAAGCUCAAAAUAGUUCAUCAAACUGAGGCAUUGUUAAUAUGGAACCUCAAAAUAGUUCAUUAAAUCAGGUUGAAUGCAUAAGAGCCUCAGUUUUUGAAUUAUGUCAGUAAAAGCAACAAUGCCUCAGUUCAUCAGAAUUCAAAUAGUAGUUAAAAGUUUAAAACUCAGAUGCUCAGUGCUCAAACCCACUCCCACCUAUCAACCUCCUCUCCCUCGCCGACUCCUUCUGUUGGGGAUCAUGGCAUCAAUGUUUCAUCAGCUAGGCUAUUCUACUCUAGGCUAUUCACAAAAUCCAUGAAUGCCUCCUUCUCAACCUCAGUCAACUGCUCGGCCUCGAUUAGCUUAUCUCCUCAAGUUCGUCAAAUUUCCAAUCGAAUCGUAAGACCAGAGGCGCUUCCGGCUCCCUUGGGAAGAGUAUAUCAACCUCAGUAUCGAUCGGCUUCUUCGAAUUCUUCUCCUCCUCCUUCGGAUUCAUCAUAUACGGCAUACAAUACUGGAACUGGAACCAACGGUCCUCCUUCAUCUGCUUAAUGCUCGCCUUCCUCUGCGUGCAUCCCAGCACGAAAAUCUGAGGCAAGUUGGAACCACCAGACGACUUGGCUGCUCUCUCGGAACUCCAGCCUUCUCUUUGCUCCAGAGGAAUGUAAGGGAUCCAAUCCAUCUUCAUAUACCUCAUCGGAACUAUCACCUUCUCCUCCUCUUUUUUUUUCUGCACGGCCCUGACCGCAAUCUCCAUCGACGGCGGUCGAGGCGCCACCACCGCCACCAGAUUCGGAAUCAGAACCGUAGGAUCCCAUAUAUUUCUAGUCUCCUUCUUCUUCAAAUUCCGUUGAAUUUGCCUCCUUCUUCUUCAAAUUCCUUCUCGAGAUUCGAGAAAUCCCAGUCAUGUUGGUACACUGAGUCCAAGCGAUCCAACUCACGCAAAGUGUUUGUUCUGCAUUCACUUUUGUGUUGCCUUGAUCCACAAUCCGAUUGAUGUUGAAUCUUGUUGACUAUUAUAUCAGGACGUGUUGACAAUGUGUAUGGUGACCGCAAUCUCAUCUGCACUCUUCAACCAGAGCCAGUGGAGGAAGCAGCAGCAGCCACUGCUUAGUCUUCAGCUCGAUCCAAUCCUCGUCGUCGCCGCCAAAGUCCGGUCAUGAAUAGCCCAACUGAAUGCCACAUCUUCCCUUCCCUUCACAAAGAAAAGAAAUCAUCAUCUCCUUCCACAUUCCCACAUUGUAUAUAAUUUUCUCCGUAUCUAAAUACACGUACAGCUCGCCAUAUAUAGCUGGUGACAUUCAUUUCCCUAUUAUGAUGAUGACGAUUAGCUUUUCUAAUAACAGCUGCUGUUGCUAUUUGCAACUCAGAUGUUGUAAUUAUAAUUUUCGCUGGGUGAGGAGGUUGAUAGAGAAAGAGAGAGAUGGGUGAGGACGUUGAUCAUGAUCAAGCACUACUAGUACCAGUUCUUGAAUUUUCGAAGGAGUGUUUGGUCCCAAAGAAAGAGAGGAGUGAGGAAUGGAGAGCUAUGAGCACCAAAGUGAGAGAGGCAUGUGAGAGUCAUGGCUGCUUUCUGCUGUUGGUGCAGGAAGAGGUGAUGCCGAUGCGCUUACGUGAAGACAAGGUGAUGGCCAUGAAAGCUUUGUUUGAUCUCGCUGAAGAGACCAAGCAGAAGCACACAAUCCCCAGGGCUUACCAGAGCUACCAAGGCAAGUGCCCCAUCAUUCCCUUGAACGAAAGCUUGGGGAUCGACAAUGCAUGCCAGCUUGAUGUAGCUGAGUCCUUCACCAACCUCAUGUGGCCUCAAGGGAACUCUUCUUUUUGGUGAUUUCUCUAAUAAAUUUACACUCACAUUUGAAGUAGUUAAUUUCCCCCAUUUAUGUAUCUGUUCUCUUUUUGGUCCAAGUUUCUCCAUUUCAAUGCAAGAUAAUAGCUAGAUUAAUUAAUAGCUAUAGUAAUGUUGUUUUGCUAGUUAUUUGAGAUCUAAUCAAGCUUCUAACUGGGAAUCUAAAUUAUAUAAUAUAUUUAUGAAAGAAUUCACAUACAUACUAGACCGACAUCUAAAUUGAGAAUAAUCUCGCAAUUUAGGUUAUUAAUUUGUGUUCAAACAUGCUCUAUCAGCUAUUUCAGCUCUUGCUUUCCAAAAGUGAAGCUAGAGAAUUGUAAUGAGAGGUGGACGGUUUCGUUUGAGUGAUCCGGUGGUGAUGUAUUUAUACACUACAAUUCCUUAAUCAAUCAUGAUUGGGAAACUUUAUCGUAAUAGGAUUACAACGAGCAGAGUUACUUGGUUCUCUUAAUGAAAAACUCAUAAACAAUCUUAAUUCAAGUAGAUUAUACUCAAAAUUUCAAAUAUGAUUCCAUUCGGAGUAUUGAAUUAAUUAAGACAUUUUCCUGAAAUGAAACUUAGAAUAUGAACUCAAUCAAUAAUGACUUUCAAACGAAACCACUGAUUUACUUCAAACACAUUUUUUUGUAGUCUUAUGUACGUUACGACUUCCUUGUAUCACUACAUGAUGAUUUUGAUUGGUGUUGUUUGGGAUUUAGUUUCGGGAAGUCUGAUGAGAUAUAUUGUAUUGUGGAAUUCUGUGUUUCUAUAUUAGUUGUGUAUUUAAUUCUAGAGGUUGGCAUAUGACUUGAAGAUACUCUAAGCAUGCUGAGCAAGAAUGCAUGUAUGGCCAUGUUGAUUCUUGUUAGCAAUGAUCCAACUCUUUUAUUUGCUUACUAGUUGUCUCCGGAACUCUAUGUUACCUUUGUUCGAAUACUAAUAUGACAUACUCGAGCACCAAAAUUCUUGAUCCCAACAUGUAACAUACAUAUACAUUCGUACUCAUCAAAGUGCAGGCAUGUGAUAAUUGUUAACAAUCAAACUCAAAGAACAUUCAACAGAGGGACACGCUUUGUAAUUUGGCACAGUUUUACAGUUUCAACGUACAGAUGUGAAGAAAACUCAAUUCAUCAACAAACAUAAUCGAAAAAGAGAUAUACCGAUCCGACAACAUAUAUAAAACUCGACGGGAAAAAUCAUAUUCAUCUAAAUUCUUUUCAUAAGGCUGAAAUAAUCAACAACAAACAAUAUGAAAAAAUUCAAUUCAAUUCAGCAGGUAAAGCCAAACAAGCAAGGUCAGGUCUUCGAUUCCUCAAAUAAUCUCAUGCGCUUCUCCAUAGUAGAAGUUGAUGUACUUAGACUGGAUCUCUAUCACAGGAGGGUUUGGUGUUUGUUGUGGAUAAAUCUUGUAAAGCCUCAUGCUCUCAUAAUAGGCUUUCGCUUCCUGAUACUUUGGAUCCUCCUGCUCCUUCUCAUCUUGAUUAUUCGGAUUCAUCAAAUACGGCAUACAGAACAGGUAUUGCAUCCGACGUUCCUGCCUCAUCUGUGUGCAUACCAGCACGAAUAUCUGAGGCAAAUUCAAACGAAUGCAGGGAAACCAAUCCAUAUUCAUCUCACUCAUCGGAACUAUCUCCUUCUCUCCUCUCUGCACAGACCUGAACGCAAUCUCCAAAGCAAUAAAGCACAGAAUAGGCUAGUCCAAUAACAAAGGCUACAUUCCUGGAGGGGAAAAGGCUUUAUUCAUUUCAUGAUUCUGUUCCCUCAAUGCAGAUUUGUAAUCUCAGUUUCUUCUUUUUCUCCGAGUUCAUCUUGCCAGGAAAUUGCACUAAAGUGAGAACGUUGAAUUAGUACCAAAGACACCCCCCAAACGAGUCCUUCGGUAACGUCAUGAACAGGUGCUUUGAUUGCAUCUCAAUUGCUUACUGAAGUUAUUGGUCUACCCAAGCAAAUUUACAAACUUUGUUGUCUGAGAUAAUGGCUUGUGGAAAAGUGGAGGGACUGGAAGCGGAAAAUGUGGGAAGGACUUCAAGAGAAUUGUGGUUGGCUUGACUCUGAAGUCUGAAGUCUUCCCCAUGUCGUAGUCGGUGUGUUUCAUUAUUACUAAUUCCUAAAGCUAGGUUUUUGCGCGGGAGAAACCUCCAUGAGAUUUGAGCAUGGCUGGCUGGCUGGCAUGACUCGCCAGUCUUUUCCAACAUAUAGGUUUAUGCAUUGAAAUUGCCAACAAGUAUUUUUUUCCUUUAAUCAAAACUAAUCACAUGGUUUCUUUAAAGGUAUUUCACGUCCAAAGAAGAUAUUGUUUUAAUAGAAAUCACACGGUUUUUUUAAAGACAUUCUAGACCCAAAGACUAAGUCUUAUCAACGAACAUGAGUAAGAGGAUUAUUCACCAAUAGAACAACGAACGACUUGGUAAUUACUCAUAAACCGUAGUGCUGGUCGUGAUCGAGCAGAGUAAUGCAAGUGACUUCACUGACUUGUGUGAUAAUCUACUAAAAUUUUCUCAAGGAUUACACCAUUACAAUAUUUUGUCACUUAAUUUUCUUGUGGCAAAAGUAAUUUGUAACGACAAGUGGCCACAACAUCUGACAUCCACGACCGGGUUGGGAUUGAAAUCAGAAGUGACAGAUUUUGAGGGUUUGAAACUAACAUGGAUGUUGAUGAACCAAACAAAGGUACGCCCUUUCUCAAAACUCUGCCUUUUAACCCUAUCAGGGUCUUUGAUCAUAUAAUCCCUAACAGCUUUCCCACAUUUCCCCCAAAUUUACAGGGCGAACAUGAAAUGCAAGCAAAGCCCAUAAUUGUGAUCUUCGUCCCUAGGUUUGAAUCUGCCAGGUACAUUUGAUUAUUGUUUGAUAUCACAUGUGUUCGAUCAAAUGCCUCACAAGUUAAUGGAGUAUGCACGACUUGAUAAUGAGAACAAACUUGACAACUAGAGCACAUUUCUUUCACAUAUCACACUCACAUGCACAUAUAUAGAAGUUUGCCACAGAUUUAUUAGAAGAUGAACAAGCCAGCUCAACAUACAUGAAAGAUGCACAAGAAAGAAGCACAAAAAUUCUGAGCUGGUUCUAGUGAUAGAUAGGGUGCCUUGACUUCCAAGUCUUCCCCCAAUUUUCCAAAAAUUUAAACAGCCCACCAGAGAAAAACUGACUCGUAGUUAAGAGAUGUCCAGUGAUGUUACAGUGGUAGGGUAUUGAUCGAAAGGAACGGAUGUCCAGAAGUUCAACUUAUAAACCAAAAACUAGAAGAUAUUAGUCACUUUCACAAAAUCGGCUAUUCAAGCACUUAGUACACGGAAGCCCAUAUUAUAAGUUUCGGCUCAAGCCCAACUAAAGGCCCAAAACAGAUUGAUCCCCUCCCAUUUCCUGACUCCAUUUCCAAUCUUCGUCAAACCCCAGAGCUUCACACACCAAAGCUCUCAUCUUUCCUCCAAUGGCUUCCUUCAACCCAUCCGUAAACCCCCAAACCCACUCCCACCCAUCAACCUCCUCUCCCCUCGAGAACCUCCCUUGAACCUCCCUUAGACUUCAUCUCAAUCACAGGAGUGUUUGGUGUCUGUACUGUAUAAAUCUUGUAAAGCCUCAUACUCUCAUAAUAGCUUUUCGCUUCUUGAUACUUUGGAUCCUCCAUUAGCUUCUUCUUCGCUUCCUUCUCUUCCCUAAUCUUCUUCUUCACUUUCUUCACUUCCUCCUUCACAAACGCCAUGAACGCCUCCUUCUUGUCCUCAGUCAGCUCCUCGGCCUUGAUCAGCUCAUCAGUGUACUCCUCAACCUCAUCCAACUCCCAAUCAAACUGCACAAACAGCGGCGCUUGCGGCUCCCUCGGGAAGAGUAUAUCCACCACAGUAGUCUGCUCCUUCUCCUCCUCAUUCGGAUUCAUCAAAUACGGCAUACAGUACUGGAACUUCAUCCAACGGUCCUCCUUCAUCUGCUUCAAGCUCGCCUUCCUCUGCGUGCAUCCCAGCACGAAAAUCUGCGGCAAAUUCGAACCGGACUUGGCUCCUCUCUCGGAAUUCCAGCCUUCUCUUUGCUCCAGAGGAAUGUAAGGGAUCCAAUCCAUCUUCAUCUGCCUCAUCGGAACUAUCUCCUUCUCCUCUCUCUGCACAGACCUGAUCCCAAUCUCCAUCGACGGCGGCCGAGGCGCCACGACGGCGACCAGCGUCGGGAUCAGCACCGGCACCGACGGCGAAGAAGUCUCGGUCUGGCUGAAGAGGUAGACCUUGUUGUUUCCGAUGCCGUGGAAUUUGCCUCCUUCUUCUUCGAAUUCCUUCUCGAGAUUCGAGAAAUCCCAGUCGUAUUUGUAGAGUGAGUCCAAGCGAUCCCACUCGGUGCCGACCGGGAACGCCGCCUUCCAU